UACGUAGGGGGCGAGCGUUGUCCGGAUUUAUUGGGCGUAAAGAGCUCGUAGGCGGUUCGGCAAGUCGGGUGUGAAAUUUCGAGGCUCAACCUCGAGACGCCGGUGGAAACCGUAAGGCUAGAGUCCGGAAGAGGAGAGUGGAAUUCCUGGUGUAGCGGUGAAAUGCGCAGAUAUCAGGAAGAACACCCGUGGCGAAGGCGGCUCUCUGGGCCGUAACUGACGCUGAGGAGCGAAAGCAUGGGGAGCGAACAGG
rnacentral:rRNA from 1 species